GGAGUUUGGACCGUGUCUCAGUUCCAAUGUGGGGGACCUUCCUCUCAGAACCCCUACCGAUCGAGGGCUUGGUGGGCCGUUACCCCGCCAACUACCUAAUCGGACGCAUCCCCAUCCAUGGCCGGUAAACCUUUUGUCCUCGUUAGAUGUCUGCAAAGGACGCCAUAGGGCAUUAAUCCGCUUUUCAACGGGCUAUUCCCUAGCCAUGGGCAGGUUGGAUACGCGUUACUCACCCGUGCGCCGGUCGACGCCUAAAGAAAGCAAGCUUUCAAUAUCGUUUCCCCUCGACUUGCAUGUGUUAAGCCUGUAGCUAGCGUUCAUC
rnacentral:rRNA from 1 species